rnacentral:rRNA from 1 species
AGUCGACGGAUCCUUCGGGAUUUAGUGGCGGACGGGUGAGUAACACGUAAGAACCUGCCUCUAGGACGGGGACAACAGUUGGAAACGACUGCUAAACCCGGAUGAGCCGAAAGGUAAAAGAUUUAUCGCCUAGAGAGGGGCUUGCGUCUGAUUAGCUAGUUGGUAAGGUAAGAGCUUACCAAGGCGACGAUCAGUAGCUGGUCUGAGAGGAUGAUCAGCCACACUGGGACUGAGACACGGCCCAGACUCCUACGGGAGGCAGCAGUGGGGAAUUUUCCGCAAUGGGCGAAAGCCUGACGGAGCAAGACCGCGUGGGGGAGGAAGGUUCUUGGAUUGUCAACCCCUUUUCUCAGGGAAGAACUCAAUGACGGUACCUGAGGAAAAAGCAUCGGCUAACUCCGUGCCAGCAGCCGCGGUAAUACGGGGGAUGCAAGCGUUAUCCGGAAUGAUUGGGCGUAAAGAGUCCGUAGGUAGCCAAUCAAGUCUGCUGUUAAAGAGCGAGGCUUAACUUCGUAAAGGCAGUGGAAACUGGAAGGCUAGAGUGUAGUAGGGGCAGAGGGAAUUCCUGGUGUAGCGGUGAAAUGCGUAGAGAUCAGGAAGAACACCGGUGGCGAAGGCGCUCUGCUGGGCUAUAACUGACACUGAGGGACGAAAGCUAGGGGAGCGAAUGGGAUUAGAUACCCCAGUAGUCCUAGCGGUAAACGAUGGAAACUAGGUGUGGCCUGUAUCGGCCCGGGCCGUGCCGAAGCUAACGCGUUAAGUUUCCCGCCUGGGGAGUACGCCACGCAAGUGUGAAACCUCCAAGGAAUUUGACGGGGGCCCCGCACCAAGCGGUGGAGUAUGUGGUUUAAUUUCGAUGCAACCGCCGAAGAACCUUACCAGGAACUUGACAU